rnacentral:misc_RNA from 1 species
AGAGUUACCCCCCCCUGACGCCUUCCAGUCCGACUGCUUUCCUUCGCUUACGGUCCGUGAAAGAGAACAUACGCCGAGCAGCCGUGCCUGUGCGCACGUAUUCGUGUCGUCUGUUGGCUAUUACUGAGUGAGUCUCGGUGGAGCGACCAACACCACACACCCCUCCCCCUCCGCCACAGAGCACCUUCUAAACAAGCAGAACCGCGCACAUACACACACACAUCUCCCUCCUCCUCCCUUACAGCGACACAGCCCCACUGUACUUCCGCCAUUCAUCGGACUUUAAACGCUGCCUACUCGCCCACACGCCGAGUAUUGUAGCUAGACGCACCGUGAGCAGCACUUGCCAUCUCUCCGUAGACGGAGAAACGCCUCGAGAUGAGCUACGAUCGCGCCAUCACGGUCUUCUCCCCGGACGGGCAUCUCUUUCAGGUCGAGUACGCUCAGGAAGCCGUGAAGAAGGGCUUGGCGGCGGUCGGCGUGCUCGGCAGCGACUGCGUUGUGAUCGCGGUGGAGAAGAAGUCAGCUGUCAAGCUGCAGGACAGCCGCACCAUCCGUAAGAUCUACAAAGUGGAUGCGCACAUCUACCUCGCCUUUGCCGGCCUUUCCGCCGACGCGCGCGUGCUCAUCAACAAGGCCCAGCUCGAGUGCCAGCGCUUCUCGCUCAACUACGAGGACACCAUCGACGUGGACAUGCUCGUGCGCUACGUGGCCGGGGUGCAGCAGAAGUCGACGCAGAGCGGCGGAAGCCGCCCGUUCGGCGUGGCCACGGUGAUUGGGGGAUUCAACGAGGACGGCAAGCCACACCUAUGGAAGACAGACCCAUCUGGCAUGUGCUCUGCCUGGCGUGCCGUCGCCAUCGGCCGCCACGACCAGACGGUGAUUGAGUACAUGGAGAAGAACUACAAGGAUGGCAUGUCGCGCGACGAAUGUGUGCACUUCGCGAUCAAGUCGCUGCUGGAGGUAGUGGAGAGCGGCUCGCGCAACAUCGAGCUGCUGGUACUGCAGUACAAGGAGGAGCGCUACCUGACCGAGGAAGAGCUGCAGAAGUUUGUCGUGGAGGUGGAGAAGGAAAGGGAAGAGGAAGCAGCGAAGAAGAAGCGCCAGGCAGAGCAGGAGUAGCAUCUCCCCCUCACCGACUCUCGCACCUCUGAGGAUAGCCUUCGCCUGCAGCGUGUGUGUGUGUGUGUAUGAACGUCGCUGAGGCGGCGCUAGCUGUUAUAUAUCUUUUCUUCUCGAUUUCCACCCCACCCCUGUUCACCGGUGCCGGCACCUUCUUCUCCUCCCUUCCGGCACUGUCGAACACGUGUGCACGAUGCCGCGAAAUGCGCGGAUGGGUAGAAGCCGUAGCAGCGGAACAGGGGGCACCCUUCCCCGACAGUGUCGGGCGAUAAAGCGAAGUGAGAGAGCAGCGUGUUUUGAGGUGGCGGAGGUGCUUGAAGGCUUCGUCUGUUCUUCACGAGUGCACGUAUGUCUUGGUUCACGGGGUUCUGUCUUGUGGGCGCGUCUUUCAGCAGAG